CUGCUCAAUGAAUAAAUUUAAAUAGCUGCAGUAUAAAUAACUGUACAAAGGUAGCAUAAUAAUUAGUUUUUUAAUUAAAAACUAGAAUGAAAGAUUUAAUGAAAUAUCAACUUUAUCAAAUUAAUAAAACUUAUUUUUUUUUUAAGUAAAAAAAUUUAAAUAAUUUUUAAAAGACGAGAAGACCCUAUAGAAUUUUUAAUUUUAUAAAUUAUUUAAAUUUAUUUUAUUAUUUUAAUUGGGGAAAUUUUUUAAAUUUUAAAAAUUUUAAUUAAAUAAACAAAAUUUUUUGUAUAAAUUAUAUUUUUUAAAAAAAUAAAUUAAAUUACCUUAGGGAUAACAGCAUAAUUUUUUUUAAAAGUUCAAAUUUAUAAAAAAGUUUAUGACCUCGAUGUUGAAUUAAGAU
rnacentral:rRNA from 1 species